CAAAUUUCAUUUACGGCUUUGAUCCGAUUUCAAUUACGAUUUGCAAGUUGAAUCGCAAGUUAUCUAUCAUCUUAUGUCACUCUGACAUUAGCGCAGAGAACGAUCAUUAGUGUCAUUCAGUUCUCGCGGAAUGAAAGAAAAAGUAGAAAAGCCUUUUCGGUGUAAACUCCAAUAAAAAAUGAAUGAGAGAAUGAAACAUUAUUAAAGGUAUAGCGAAAAAUGUGUUCAAAACGUUUGUCUCCUGCUUGUUUUUCUUGGAAGAAGAAAGGCUCGAUUAUGUAUUUUACGAAGAUGCGAGAUGCCAUACUAAACGUUCACCAAAACCAUUGGAAAUGUGUUUCACUUAUCCACAGUGGAUUUUUCUGAGCAUAGCAAUGGCAGAAAAUUGGGCUUCAUAACUGAAUUAAAUUUUCUGAAUAAAGUUGUUACCAACUUG